AAGGACUGUGCUGAAGGGAAACAGCUCAACAAAAUCAAGGCAAUUGUUUCAGAGAAGUGAGGUCAGUGUAGCCUCCAGCACACCCUUCUGCACCUUCUGGGAUGAAGCCAGAAGCAUGGGGUCCUGAUGCAGUUGGAGUUCAGAGCUAUUUUAUCCUCUUCCUCCUAUCAUUUCUCCCCCACUGGAACCACCAGGUUCCAGAUGCUAGCAUGAUGCCAACAAGACUUCCCUGGACAGACGACCCCACCAACGUGUCCUGGAGCUCUGUUUCUCCAGAGCCCCACCCUUCUAAGGAAAGAGAGAGACAGGCUGGGAGUAUGGAUUGACCUGUCAACUCCCCUGUUUAGCAGGGAAGCAAUUACAAAAGCCAGACCUUCAACCUUCUGCAUCCCACAAUGAUCUUGGGUCCACACUCCCAGAGGGAUAGAGAAUAGGAGAGCUAUCAGAGGAGGGGAUGGGAUAUGGAGAUCUGGUGGUGG